GUCUGUUUCUUUUUGGUUGAGUUUUGCUUUGGAUUCAGCUUCUCUGUAAUUUUGACUCCCAUCUAUAACAUGAAGAUACCAAUUUACUUCUUGUGGGACUGUUGGAAGAUAAUCAUUAACGGGAGCAAGGCAUUCAGAUAUUGUGAGCGUGGCGAUGUAAGAGUUAGAGAGAUUCCCUAGAUGGGAGUGGGGCUUUGGAGAUCUCUUUACAUGCUGUGAGAAGUCCUGUGGUGGACUCAUCUUUGUGUUAUUUAAAAAACAAAACAAAACAAAACAAAAACUGUACAGCUGUUACUCCUAGACUCUAAAAUUUAUCCACGUUUGUAAAUCUCAGUCCUGGACUACUAUGCAAUUCAUCAGAUUGAUUAAGAAAAAUGAAUAGAAUAGUAUUGAAACUCUAGUGGCCACAUUUAUCUGUAAUCUAAUGGUACUCACUUUUUCCUGUCUCUGGAAAAGUUGCAUGUUCUUGCUGCUGGCUUUCAAGGUCUCAUGUCUUUGGCUGCUGAAAAUCUGUGCAUUGCUGUUCUUCUGGAGUACUCAUGGAAAGGUGAUUACUUCCAAAUGGUUCUUCCAGAAACACUUCGAUGACUACCUGUAAAAUGUUAGCUGUACAUUCUUGUUAACAAAACUUUGAAACAUUUAACAACUUCAGUUUGUAGGUAUCCUGGUAGUUCUCAGACGUAAGGUGGAUGAGAACAACGAUAAAUGAAAAAAGGAAAACCAAGAUUUUUGAAGUAACAUUCUUAGAGGGAACACCAUUUCUGAGCAGUCAGAGGUAUAAUGUUUAGGUAAGUUAAUUCAGUUGCCAUCUGAGAGAACUGAAAUUGAAUGUCUGAAAUAUAAGACAGGAGACAAACAAAUGGCAAUAAAGAAGCUGAAAUUGCUAUGGGGAAGAUCUUGUGAUAAAAGGAAUAUGCAGAAAUCAGAUGGUAGAAGUGGUAUGUGAGGAUGAAUCUGGAAGGCCUUCCCAAGGAGGAAUUAUCUUAUAUAGUGUUCCAAAAAAAAACCCCAAAACUGUCACCAGAUGAUUAGUUUGACUUUGAUGGUGAUGCCAUUCUUGAGUUCUUACUGAAGUAUACAGGCAGAAUUAUUUAAGCGGAUCAGUGCUUUUCUGUAUCUGUACUUUAAGAAUAAGGCCUUAUCUGGAGACUUAAAAUAUUCCAGAUUUAAUUGGAGAAUUCUGUGUGUAUAAAGUGCUUGACUAUGAAAAUAAUGAAAUAGGCUUGUAGGAAUAUCCGUAGAUUAUGAACAUGUGAUUGUAAAAUGUAUUGCAUAUUGCAAGAAUUUACAUGCAAACUUUCAUGUUUUGGUGGGGUUUUUUUGUGUACUUUCUCUAACUUGCACUGAUUAAUCAAUGUUUUUCAAAAUACCUCUUGCAGGUGUAGGCUUAAAAAGGGCAGUUAUUUUCUCUAAAUUGUGUCCCAUCUGGCUGUUGUGCUUCUCACUUCUGUUGUAGAAGUUCAGAGCCCACAGGAACUCUGAGC
rnacentral:lncRNA from 1 species